UGAGGCCCUACGGGGGUACAUCAGUGGCAGACGGGUGAGUAACACGUAGGUAACCUGCCCUCGAGACGGGGAUAGCGGCUGGAAACGGUCGCUAAGACCCGAUAUAGUCUGACCUUCGGGAGAAGGUGAGAGGAAAGGCUUCGGUGCUCGGGGAGGGGCCUGCGGNCCAUCAGCUAGUUGGAGAGGUAACGGCUCCCCAAGGCAAUGACGGGUAGGGGGUGUGAGAGCAUGGCCCCCCACACUGGGACUGAGACACGGCCCAGACUCCUACGGGAGGCAGCAGCAGGGAAUAUUGCGCAAUGGACGGAAGUCUGACGCAGCGACGCCGCGUGGAUGAUGAAGGCCUUCGGGUUGUAAAAUCCUUUUCCGGGCGAUGAGGAAGGACACUAGCCUGGGAAUAAGCGUCGGCUAACUACGUGCCAGCAGCCGCGGUAAGACGUAGGACGCGAGCGUUAUCCGGAUUUACUGGGCGUAAAGCGCCUGCAGGCGGUCAGGUAAGUCGGUUGUGAAAGCCCCGUGCUCAACGCGGGGAGGCCAAGCGAUACUGCGUGACUUGAGGGCGGAAGAGGGGAGUGGAAUUCCCGGUGUAGCGGUAAAAUGCGCAGAUAUCGGGAGGAACACCAGUGGCGAAGGCGGCUCCCUGGACCGCACCUGACGCUCAGAGGCGAAAGCUAGGGGAGCGAACAGGAUUAG
rnacentral:rRNA from 1 species